rnacentral:lncRNA from 1 species
UACACUCUCUGCAGUCAAAGAGAUCUUCAAAUCUCUUAUUAAAUACUUUCCGGUGCAGCCUUUAGAGAAUUACACCCCUCAGGGAAUGCUGAGUGACCUCCUCAAUUUUCCCAAGGAUGAUACUUGCUAGUACCAGUCUCUAACACAAUAAGAGAUAACCUCAUUCAUUACAUGCAAUGAAUGCCUUAGAGUCCUAGAAUUCUUCCAAGGACUGGGUGGAGACAGUUGCAAAAGUUACUGGUCACACUUCAAUACCAGUGACCACAGCCUACAAGUCCCUUGUGACCUGCUGUCCACCACACCUCCACUUCUGCAGGCUCAUUUCCUACUACCCUUCUCCUAAGCAAGGAACUCUUUCUUUCUGCAAUCAUAAUCACUUUACUCCUGCCACAGGGCUUUUGCAGGACCUGAACCCCUGUCCCAGGCUGUCCAGAGCCAGCACCUUCUGUCAAUCAUUCUGGUUUCAGCUCCAACGUAACAAGCUCAGUGAGGCCCUCCCUGACAACUUGAUUAAAGAGAGACAUUACCAAUUCCUGCUGCCCCUGUUUUAUGUUCUUUACAGCACUUAUUUAUCAUAAUCUUCAUGUCCCUUCUAUGUUCACUGUAUUGUGUGUGUCUUUGCAAAUAGAACUGAACUCCCCAGGGCAGAAAGCUUUUCAUGGGGAGGCCAUCUGUGAAAGUACGUUAGAGAAUGCAUCAGACAUUUAUUAUGAGUUAGUCACCCGG